rnacentral:rRNA from 1 species
UGGGGAAUAUUGGACAAUGGGCGAAAGCCUGAUCCAGCCAUGCCGCGUGAGUGACGAAGGCCUUAGGGUUGUAAAACUCUUUCGUCGGGGACGAUAAUGACGGUACCCGAAGAAGAAGCUCCGGCUAACUUCGUGCCAGCAGCCGCGGUAAUACGAAGGGAGCUAGCGUUGUUCGGAAUCACUGGGCGUAAAGUGCACGUAGGCGGAUAGUUAAGUCAGGGGUGAAAUCCUGGGGCUCAACCCCAGAACUGCCUUUGAUACUGGCUGUCUCGAGGUCGAGAGAGGUUGGUGGAAUUCCUAGUGUAGAGGUGAAAUUCGUAGAUAUUAGGAAGAACACCAGUGGCGAAGGCGGCCAACUGGCUCGAUACUGACGCUGAGGUGCGAAAGCGUGGGGAGCAAACAGGAUUAGAUACCCGUGUAGUCCCUGAGCGGGCUGGCAAGGCGCAU